rnacentral:rRNA from 1 species
GAUGAACGCUAGCGGGAGGCUUAACACAUGCAAGUCGAGCGGUAGGGCAGCAAUGCCUGAGAGCGGCGCACGGGUGCGUAACGCGUAUGCAACCUGCCUUAUACAGGGGAAUAGCCCAUGGAAACGUGGAUUAAUGUCCCAUAGGAUUACGGAUUCGAAUGGAUUUGUGAUUAAAACUGAGGUGGUAUAAGAUGGGCAUGCGUCUGAUUAGGUAGUUGGUAGGGUAAUGGCCUACCAAGCCGACGAUCAGUAGGGGCUCUGAGAGGAUUACCCCCCACACUGGUACUGAGACACGGACCAGACUCCUACGGGAGGCAGCAGUGAGGAAUAUUGGUCAAUGGCCGGAAGGCUGAACCAGCCAUCCCGCGUGCAGGAUGACGGCCCUAUGGGUUGUAAACUGCUUUUGUACCUGAAGAAACCUGUUUACGAGUAGACAGUUGCCGGUAAGGUAUGAAUAGGCAUCGGCUAACUCCGUGCCAGCCGCCGCGGUAAGAC